AGAGGGAGGGGGGAGGGACAGGGGAGCCCGGGGGAGGGAGAGAGAGGGAGUCGGAGAGACGGAAAGGCUGAGAGCUCUUCCUCCUCCCAAAUCGCAAGAGAUCCUCUAUCUCCUAACUCCGCUGCAAUGCCUCACUCCUCUAUACACUCUUUGCCGCUUUAGGGCUUCGGGAGCCCUUCGAUCGGCAGCGGAGGUCGUUUUCUUGGGAUAUUCCUGGGCUGAUCUUUGAUUGGAAUAUUUCCCUUUUUCUUGGCAAUGUACAUUCAAGAGUGGAUUCUGUUCUUGUAAUGCGCUGGGCAUUCUGCUGAGAUCUGCGAAGAUCUCAUGAUUUUCCAGGAAGAAGAUCCCGUGUUUUGUCUGUGAUUUUGUCUGUUGACAGCAAAGCUGCCAUUUUGUUCCUUCAAUAUGCGGUGAGAAGGUGCUAGGCGGUCAAAGUAUUCUUGUACCAAUAGCAGAAAUAUGAAGUCAGGCUCAAAGAAGGGAAGAAAUACAAAGUUGGGCUUGCUGAAGAGUUGGCCUCUUCGCCUGAGAGGCAAAUCUUCCACUCGUUUCUGUAUGUUCCCCAAGGUUCGUUCAGCCGAGAGAACAGAUGGAAAUGCACCAGUUUAUCUGAAUGUGUAUGACCUUACAUCUGUGAAUGACUUUGUUUAUUGGGCAGGCAUUGGAAUAUUCCAUUCAGGGGUUGAAGUUCAUGGCAUGGAGUAUGCAUUUGGUGCACAUGACUACCCAACUAGCGGUGUCUUUGAAGUUGAGCCUCGCUCUUGUCCAGGCUUUAGAUUCCGGAAGUCAAUAUUCAUGGGCACAACAUGUUUAGACCCUAUUCAGGUCAGAGAGUUUAUGGAGCUCAAUUCUGUAAACUAUAAUGGAGAUGACUACCAUUUGAUUGUGAAGAACUGCAACCAUUUCUGUGAGGAUAUCUGUUAUAAGUUGACAGGCAAUUCAAUUCCAAAAUGGGUCAAUCGACUUGCCAAUAUAGGCUCCCUUUGCAGCUGCAUCCUGCCCGAGGCCUUUCAGAUUUCUGCUGUUCGUCAUGAGCCUGAUUUCCAAGCAGAUGAUGGUGAGACGAUGAAGUUGACAAGCAGUUUUAGCUGCCUAACUUCGGUCUCCAUGCAUCAGAGGCAGUUGGCAGCCUCGUCCGUCUUCUUGAGUUCUCCCCUGAAAGGUUGCUUUCAACCAUGGGAGUUCAGCAGGUCUGGUUCUGUCCAUUGAAGGAGAGGUAACGCUGCUUGUCCGGUUGGUCAAAUCCCAUGGCUUUAUAGCAAAACGGUUUCAGACCUUUGGAGAAUUCAAGCUUAUUUCGCUUUUGGCAAUCUUUAGCAAUCUAUAACUUUCAUGCUGGUUGUGGAAAAACGGAUUCUGAGUGUUCAGAAUGCUGAAAGAAGCAACAAAUGUUGUAUAGUUUUCUUUGUUCAGGUGGGCUCAAGAAGCGGAACUACUAAGACCCGCAGGGGUGAUUUUUGGCUGGAUGUCAUCUGGAACAGAGAGUACGAUAGGGAACUUCAAUGGUUCUUACUACUAUUGAGUAAGCUGGUUUUGCUGCACAAAAACCGUUUGAAGUUUUAUUCAGUGGCUCUUCUUUCAAUUGACAUUGGGAAAGCAAUGAAGGAGCAUGCAGAGGAGGGAUCUUGUAUGCAGAUCUGUUUUUGCCUCAUGAGAAGAGAUCUCAAGAAACAAAGGCCGAGGCUGUGGUGUGCCUAAUUCAUUCAUCGCGCUUCCGUAGCAAAGGAGGAAAGGUUGAUUUAUAACACAUGCUGGAUGAAAUGAUGGGUUCAUAUGCGCAAAGAAAUUUCCUGAAUUUUCCUUCUAUAUUUUUAUGCUGAAGUUCUAUUUGUGGUUUAACCAGGGUAGUAAAUAUACCAAAAAAAGUUGAAAAUUCUUGGAAAUGGGAUUGACUUGUUGCUUGGGAAUGUAAUAGCCGAGUCAAAUAUCAGAAUUUUCCUUUUUG